rnacentral:rRNA from 1 species
UUAAAAGACCUAGCAAUAGGUAUGCUUAGGGAAGAGCUUGCGUCACAUUAGUUAGUUGGUGGGGUAAUGGCCUACCAGGACGAUGAUGUGUAGCCGGGCUGAGAGGUCGAACGGCCACAUUGGGACUGAGACACGGCCCAAACUCCUACGGGAGGCAGCAGUAAGGAAUUUUCGGCAAUGGAGGAAACUCUGACCGAGCAAUGCCGCGUGAACGAUGAAGUAUUUUGGUACGUAAAGUUCUUUUAUUAGGGAAGAAAAGAUGGUGGAAAAACCAUUAUGACGGUACCUAAUGAAUAAGCCCCGGCUAACUAUGUGCCAGCAGCCGCGGUAAUACAUAGGGGGCAAGCGUUAUCCGGAAUUAUUGGGCGUAAAGGGUGCGUAGGCGGUUAAAUAAGUUUAUGGUCUAAGUGCAACGCUCAACGCUGUGAUGCUAUAAAAACUGUUUAGCUAGAGUUGGAUAGAGGCAAGUGGAAUUCCGUGUGUAGUGGUAAAAUGGSUAAAUAUACGGAGGAACACCAGAAGCGAAGGCGGCUUGCUGGGUCUUAACUGACGCUGAGGCACGAAAGCGUGGGGAGCAAACAGGAUUAGAUACCCUGGUAGUCCACGCCCUAAACGGUGAGUACUAAACGUUGGAUAAAACCAGUGUUGAAGUUAACACAUUAAGUACUCCGCCUGAGUAGUACGUACGCAAGUAUGAAACUUAAAGGAAUUGACGGGACUCCGCACAAGCGGUGGAUCAUGUUGUUUAAUUCGAAGGUACCCGAAAAACCUCACCAGGUCUUGACAUGCUUUUGCAAAGCUGUAGAAAUACAGUGGAGGUUAUCAGAAGCACAGGUGGUGCAUGGUUGUCGUCAGCUCGUGUCGUGAGAUGUUGGGUUAAGUCCCGCAACGAGCGCAACCCUUGUUGUCAAUUGCCAUCAUUAAGUUGGGGACUUUAGCAAGACUGCCAAUGAUAAAUUGGAGGAAGGUGGGGACGACGUCAAAUCAUCAUGCCCCUUAUGACCUGGGCUACAAACGUGAUACAAUGGCUGUUACAAAGGGUAGCUAAAGCGUAAGCUUCUGGCGAAUCUCAAAAAAACAGUCUCAGUUCGGAUUG